ACCACUCACCAGGGGGCGAUCGAGACGUUUUGGCUUCACUUUUCAGGGCUUGUGCGGCACGCUUGGUACGACCUAAAAGAACAAAUAUAGUGACCUAUUUGUGCGCAGAGCAAGUAAUUUUAGUUUUUUAAUAUUGCACCACAAACGCUGCCAUGUGGAGUGAUGUCGAACCUAACGUUACAUCUCGGAGCUCUCAGAAGGCGCUCAGGUGUAUUCUCCCACUCAGAGUUCGGAACUUUCCCAGUUGCUCAUUAACGCAUCUUCCAAAACAGAGAGGUUUGAUUCAGUUUUCACCACUCUGCCACUUCACAGAUGUGGUGUGUAAUUCACUUCUAACAUCUCAGGAAGAAAUCUGGAAACAAAGAGGAGCAACAGUGAUCAUAUUUAAGGGUGGAACUGGAAGACGAGGAAGAGUCGCCUGGACGCAGGUGCCCUGUCACAUUUCGGGAGGGAGCCCGUGGACUGAGGGAAUACUGUGCCGUAGUGAGCAGCAGCAGCCGACACAGUGUAAUAAAAAGAGGCCCAGCUAAAGAGGACCAGCCCAGGAGAAGACUGGACCCAGAACGAUUAUUUCGCUGUCAUAACAGACUUAACUAAAGUGGUUAAAAUUGCCUGUCGUUGCUUAGCGAUCAUUAAGAGGGAUGAGAGAAGGAAGCUGAUGUUCAUGACUACCCUCCACAUUGUAGUAAGCCACCCGUGUGUUCCUGUCCUAUGUCAGACAUCAUUUUGUAACCCUGAGAUCUGACAAAGCAAAAAUAACUUUAUAUAAAGAAAAAGACUCUUAAAUGCUGCACUGUUUCAACUAGUUUCUUGUUAUUGUUUCUCCACCAGACCCCCUUGUGUGUGUAUGGUGGUCAUUCCC
ensembl:lncRNA